AAGGAGCAUGCAGGGCGGCUCUCUGGCGUUUCGCUGGAGAUUGAAAGAUUCUGCAUGCAUUUAGUAAUCUAUUAAUAGUUAAAAUUUGAAAUUGUGGUGUGCCCAAUGAAGUAUAUUAUGGAUUAUGGCUGACACAGGAAAAAAAAGGUGUUGAAUUCACUGGCUGUGAAUAUUGAAGAUGAUGUUCCUUUUAUAUAUUUCCCCAAAAAUAUGGAAGUUCAUUUUGCUUUGAGCUGAAAACUAGUUGGGUUGUUGAAUAGUCAGAAAUGUCUUACAAAUGUUCUUCUGCCUUUUCAACGAUCUUGCUUGUAAGAUAGAAGUAAAAGUUGAUAAUAUGGAGUGAAAUCUGAACGCUGGGCCUUUUCAGCAAUUUUACAGGUGCUUUGUGGGAAUUUACCCAGCAUUUGGGUCCAAGGCUGAAAGGAAGAUGGGAAAGAAGUUACAUCAGGGAGUUCAACCUAAAAUAUGAAUUUGUGAAAAAAAAAAAAAAAAAAAAGCCAGUUUGACAGCUGGGUCAGACAUUAGAGACAAAUAAAUCAUUUUGGUAAAGUUUUUAUAAGUGGUCCUAUAUUACCUACUUUUCCAAAAAAGAAAAAAAAAAACGUCAAAAGCGUUCUAUAUUUUUACUACUAUACUUUAUUUCCUAUAUUCCUAUGAUUUAAUCUAAAUAAUCUUAGAUAAAAGUGUCUACUAGUGUCUUAGAAAAAAAAGCUACUCAAAAUGAGCUCCUGGGCUAAAAACG